rnacentral:tRNA from 1 species
GAGGGUGUAGCUCAGUGGUAGAGCACGUGCUUAGCAUGCACGAGGUCCUGGGUUCAAUCCCCAGUAGCUCCA